UCAGAGGUGAAAUCCCAGGGCUCAACCCUGGAACUGCCUUUAAAACUGCUAGUCUUGAGUUCGAGAGAGGUGAGUGGAAUUCCAAGUGUAGAGGUGAAAUUCGUAGAUAUUUGGAGGAACACCAGUGGCGAAGGCGGCUCACUGGCUCGAUACUGACGCUGAGGUGCGAAAGUGUGGGGAGCAAACAGGAUUAGAUACCCUGGUAGUCCACACCGUAAACGAUGAAUGCUAGUCGUCGGGUAGUAUACUAUUCGGUGACCCACCUAACGGAUUAAACAUUCCCCCCGGGGAGUACGGUCCCAAGAUUAAAACUCAAAAGAAUUGACGG
rnacentral:rRNA from 1 species